rnacentral:rRNA from 1 species
UACGAAGGGGGCUAGCGUUGCUCGGAAUCACUGGGCGUAAAGGGUGCGUAGGCGGGUCUUUAAGUCAGGGGUGAAAUCCUGGAGCUCAACUCCAGAACUGCCUUUGAUACUGAAGAUCUUGAGUAUGGGAGAGGUGAGUGGAACUGCGAGUGUAGAGGUGAAAUUCGUAGAUAUUCGCAAGAACACCAGUGGCGAAGGCGGCUCACUGGCCCAUUACUGACGCUGAGGUGCGAAAGCGUGGGGAGCAAACAGG